rnacentral:tRNA from 1 species
AUUUUAUUAGUAUAAUUAGUAUAUUUGUUUUCCAAACAAAUGGUUUAAGAAUCUUUAAAUAAAAUA